rnacentral:rRNA from 1 species
GGUGACCUCGGAUCAGUAGUCCGUA